UUUCGUAGGUGAACCUGCGGAAGGAUCAUUAACACUUUAUAUCCACUGUAAACCAAAGUUGAACUGUCAUUGUGUUCGAUAGUAGGAACGAUAGGCUAUGUGGUGAGGAACGGGUCAAAAAUGGAAACAUUUUUUGCUCUGGUUCUCGUCUCCGUUCCACGACCUCUCCCCCAAUUUCUGGGGGUGUGAGUCAUACUUCACACAAUGAUCACCACGGUUAUUUUUAACCACUAUGAAUUUUUGUACUAAAUCUUUCUUAUUGAGAACGCUUUUGUGCCGUUAGGCCAAGGCUCUCUUUAAGUAUUUUACGAAACACUGAACAACUCUUAGCAACGGAUAUCUUGGUUUCC
rnacentral:misc_RNA from 1 species